UACGGAGGAUCCAAGCGUUAUCCGGAAUCAUUGGGUUUAAAGGGUCCGUAGGCGGCUUUAUAAGUCAGUGGUGAAAUCCAAUCGCUCAACGAUUGAACUGCCAUUGAUACUGUAGGGCUUGAAUGACUAUGAAGUAACUAGAAUAUGUAGUGUAGCGGUGAAAUGCUUAGAUAUUACAUGGAAUACCAAUUGCGAAGGCAGGUUACUAAUAGUUUAUUGACGCUGAUGGACGAAAGCGUGGGGAGCGAACAGG
rnacentral:rRNA from 1 species